CUCUCCACAAUCCCUGCGUCACUCACGACCUCUCCACCAAUGAGCACCUAAACACGUUCAGUUUGAGCACGACAUCAAAGACUUGAAAGACAAAAUACUUUCGCACCUGUUUACUUAAUCGAGCAUCUCUCUUAUUAGUGUCGGAAUCAACUUGCAUUGCAUCCUCCUCUUCGUCAUGUUCCGCUGCUUUGGCCCGUUUGCAGGGCUUCACUCCAACGGGACUAUUUUUCGUCUUUGACAUUCUUCGCUCCAAGUCAACCCAAAGUUGGAGGGACAACUGCUCGGUCACUGUCAGUCUGCGAGAUAAACAGCAACAGACCAGGCUCAUGAGCACCAGUUCCAGGCUCUGGAUGGCCAGUUCAUCAGGCACAGCAAGGCCUUCAUGGAGAUGCUCUUUCAUCUGUGUGGCCAAAUCGCUGUGACCCUGGGUGUCGAGAACCCGACGCAUGACGCCGCCGAUGGACAGCAAGUCCAAGCCGUACUUCUGCGACAACAUCUGCGCGACUUCAUCAACAUGUAGAGAAAUUGAUUAGAAAACUAGAGAAGUGUAUGAAAAACUGCAAUUUGAAACUCACCGCCAGUUUUCCCUGAUUUUGGUGGUCCAAUAAUAGCCAUUUUAAUAGGAAGCGUAGGGGAGGGCUUGGUCUGCCUGAGGUACUUUAAAGGAUUGAGCAUGAAUGUUUGCUGGUUCUUCUUAGACUCUAAAAAGUAGAUAUACUGAUUGAGGAGUACGGGAUAGGCGCCAUCAAGAGGCCACAGCAAAGGCUGGAUGAUAUCUCUUUCAUUAUACCGCUGUGUGGAAAAGGAUGUAAUUUACUCUAAAAAUGUCUCAAUCCUCAAAACCAAGGUUAUUUUCGCUUACCCUAACGGGGUCCAAGCAGCCAAAGGCACUAUGAAACUUGUAAGAGUAGAGGAGUAACUGCUGUGACAAGUUGUACGAAAUGGCCAGGCAUCUUUGGAAGAGUGAUUCCCUGUUGGUGUACAAAGGCUCCACUUUUAGGACGAGUUGACGUCGAACAAUCUGUAUCUUACGGGACGCAUUUAUAGAUAUCCUCGGAAUGUUCAGCUCUGCCACAAGCUCCUAGGUAUAGAAAACACACACAAAAGCAAAUGUUCUCAAAGACUGAAGUACAUGUACUGAAAGGUGAACAGUCACCAACAUUAAGCCUUUAUGAUUUUACAGGCAAUGUUUGAAGUAACAUUGAAAUAUACAAGACACACAAUCGUAAAGAGAAGUUAACCACCCGUUAAUAAAAUAAAACAAAACUGAAAAUAAGACAAACCACUCACCCUUUAGGGCAGGGGUGUCCAAAGUACGGCCCGGGGGCCAUUUGCGGCCUGCAAGUAAUUUUUUAAUGGCCCCACAGCACAUUUUAAAAAUACGAUUGAACAUUUUUUAAAACGUAAAAAGUGAUAUAAAAGAGCAAACGGGUGAAAUGUAACAAGAACAUUUUGCAAUGUUUACUCUAAUAACACAAAGCUGCCAUGCAGGUUGUUUCUUUCUUUAAAAAAUAAUAAUGAAUCAAAAUCAAUUUCAUUAUGAAUUAUUGACCUAUUCAUGGCUCCAAUUACAUCACGUUAAAUUUUCCACUUUGAGAUUUUUUGGGGGGAAAAUGUUACAUAUUUUGUGUUUGCCAUAUAAAAAACUGAACUGUUUUUUUAAAGAAAGGCCUAAAAUGAACAAACAAAAAACAUAAACAACAAUAAAACUUAUAAUUGACGGAUAGAUCUGAAGUUAAUCUCGAGAUUAUUGUGUUAAAAGUAAACAGUAAAAAAAUGUAUUGUUAUUGACCUUUUUAAUGCUCCAAUUAUUAUAUAAUCUGACAUAUUCCACUUAAAAAAUUAUUGGGUGAAAAUAUUCCAUAUUUUGUGAUUUUUCCAUAAAAACAAAUACAACUUAAAUUUUUGAAAUCGGUAUAUCGACAGAUAGACCUAAUGUUGAUCUAGAGAUUUAAAACUUGAAUAAUAAUAAAAAAAAUAAUACUGAAUAAUGACACAUUUUUUUUUAUAUUUUUUGGACCAAAACCCUUUGGGGUCCCUGAGAUCAACCCUGAGUGGAGGCCGAAAUGUAUAUUUUUUUUAAAUAAAAAAUAUCAAAAUGGCCCCCACUUUCUUUGAUUUUUCAGUGUGCGGCCCUCAGUGGAUAAAGUUUGGACACCCCUGCUUUAGGGGGUACAAUUUACCACAAACAAAAAUUUGAUAUCCAAAUUUGACAAUUUUCGGUUAGAGUUAAAGUACCAAUGAUUGUCACACAAACACUUGGUGUGGUGAAAUUUGUCUUCUGCAUUUGACCCAUCCCCUUUUUCACCCACUGGGAGGUGAGGGGAGCAGUGGGCAGCAGCGGUGCCACGCACCAGAAUCAUUUUUGUUGAUUUAACCCCCAAUUCCAACCCUUGAUGCUGAGUGCCAAGCAGGGAUGUAAUGGGUCUCAUUUUUAUAGUCUCUGGUAUGACUCAGACGGGGUUUGAACUCACAACCUACCGAUCUCAGGGUGGACACUCUAGCAAUUAGGCAACUGAGUAGGAUGUUUGAGUUGAGGUAAGCGUCAUAGAAAGGUUGGCGGAUUUUGGAAUAUGCUAACAGUAGCUGCUAGACUACAUAUGUGACUGAUAUACCCAAGGUUUGCAUGUAUUAACGCAUGUGCAUACUUGAUACCGCACGCAAAGCUGAUAUACUAAGCUCAUGCGCAGAAAAUUGCGUCUAUUAAAUGCCUUUAGUGUGUCUGUCUUCAUAUACAAUAUACACGGAAUGCCAUAUAUGCUAUUUAUUAGAAUGCUCACAAUAGUAGGAGGAGAUGCAAAUACUGUAUAGUCAUUUAGCACUCGCGAGGUGAUUUAUCAUGCAUUAACUGCUUUGCAACUGUUUCAUUUCUAUAUUUAGCACAUUUAAAAUGUUUCUGCAUACAGGCACAUUUAUGGCUGAGGAGAGCAGUGCAAUAUGCCUGACGAUGCUUGUGUCCACAAUCAACAUAUUUCUGUCAGAUAUGGGUGAAUUUAAAAACAUGAAUACCGUGAAAAGGUUUGUGAUGAUCAAAGUUAUAACAAAUACAGACUUGAAACAGCUCACUUUUCAUGAGUUUAAAACACAUAUUUGUUUCACAUUUGAAGUUGAAUUUCUGACUGACAUAAGUGAACUUUUGCACAUUAUGCAAUUUUUUUUUCUGGUUAAACUUGUAUAAGGGUUGUCAAAAAUGAGUUAACACGUGAUUAAUCACAAAAACAUAUUACAUUGAACAUGUUACAGAUUAAUCACACAACCUUUUUUGAGCACACACGCUCAUUUACCUUAAAGGUACAUGUUGUUCUUUAGUCAGUGAUCAGGUAAACGCGUGCGUCAAAUAUGAUGUGAGGAGACCCAGACUGGUGUGGUCAAAGGUCAAUUUCACUACAAAGUAAACUCCGAUAAGACUUUAGAAAACGUUUUAAACAAAGUUUUUUAACUGUUUUUAACUUUUUAACUGCUUUUAUCCAACAAAUUGUUCUUAGGGUAAUUUGUGUUUGCUUUUUCAAUGUGUAUUUUACUUCUGUUUUAAAUGUUAUUUUUUAGUCUGUCCUUUGCCUCUCUUCUUUAUGGUGUCCAUCUCUUUGUUCUUCAACUGUGGUUGUUUUUAUAGGGCUUUAUAAACAAAGUUGUAUGGUAUGGUAUGGUGGAUAAAUAACAUGCAUUUGGGUAAAAUUUUCAAAAAAUGUUCCCGUAUGACAUUCUGACAAUAAAAUUAAGUUUUUGUGAAAAUA